CAUGAACACGAUUAUUAUUCUUGUGGUACGGGCGCGCAUGGGCAGGAUGGUGUAACCAUCCGGCGAAAGCUCCCAUGCGCGAAAGACAGGCUCCCUCGGGAGCCUUUUUUAUUAUCCAAAU
rfam:Elaeophora elaphi genomic scaffold, EEL_scaffold_00001_1479205